AAAUAACAACACCCUAGAGAGCCAUUUUUCUCCCAAAGUCUCCAUACCCCAUAUCCACCCCCCUCCUCUCUUCAUCUUCUCCAAGCACACCCAAACAUCCCCCCACUGCCCGCCUUCAUCAUCUUCCUCAUCUCGACGACGCAAUACCAACAGCAACCACCACGCCUGAGCUUCGUCGUCAACCUGCUGUCUGUCGGCCCUCACUACCCUCGUCCUCCUUCACAGAACCAGAGCCAGCCCGUCAGUUCACCAGCCGUCGACCAGCAGCGGCCAGCGUCUCCUUCAUCUUGCGGCUGCAUCGUUCGUCACCACCAAACGACCAGCAGUCUGUCGUUCUUCCUUGUCUCAUGUUUCUUAGUUUCCAUCGGCCUUUUUCAUUUCUGAACAGACUCGAGUUUCCGGAAAAGUUUCCGGGCAGAUUUGGUUUCCGUCAAGUUUUUCAGUGUCCAACUUUUCGAAGUUAGACAUCUUAAGAUUCAAAAAAUUUUACUUGGCUUUAAGGUUCAUUUUAUCCCAUCGUUGUUCUUAUUUAUUUUUAUCGUGGAAUAUGUGGGUUCAUUUUUGACAAAAUCUUCGCAUGAAGUAUCCUACUACAUUCGUUGAAAUUAUAUAUGUGUACGUUUUGACAACUUUUCCGUUGUUUUCCUGUCGGUAUGUUUACAGUGUUCAUUUGUUCUUGUUUAAGUUUUAAUCUAGAGGUGUGUUAGUUUAAUCACUGAAUCUUUGUUUUGAUGAUAUUUGGUCUGAAUUGAGUUUCUAGCUUAAAUUGUGAUUUGAUUUUGAUGAAUCCUAAUGUUGUUCUGAUAUGAAUUUAAUAUCGAUUAUUGAUGUGAAUCUGACCAUGAUGAACUUAUUCCAAAGUGUUUUCAAUUUGGAGUUAGUCUCAUAUGAUUUGAUUAGUCAAUUGUUAGGAUUUAUCACUUAAAGAUUGGUUGUAGCUGCUAUAGUUUGGUUAAUUGAUUAAGAGUUUUGGAUAUAGCUGAUGGGCUAGGAUAGUGAUUUCAGUAAUAUCACGAUGGUAAUUUGGGAGUCGGAAAGUUUGAAAAUGGUUUAAACUUAGUGGUUAUUAAAGUAAUAAAUUGUUUAAUAAAAGUGGGGAACAAGACAUAAUGGGGAGGUUUAAAUGGAUUGAUUAAAUAAAGAAAAGAUAAGGGUUAGUGGGGAACAAGACAAAAUGAUGUAUAUAAAGAAAAAAGGGGUUUGAAAAGUAAAAAGAGGGGAAUAAUAAUGAAAAAAGCUAAAAGUGUUCUCAUAGUAGAAGAAUAUAUAAAGUUGGAAAGCAAAAAGGAGUAGGGGUAAUGAUAAAAGGCUUCCUUUUACUACUGUAAAGAAAGAAUGAGGGCUGAAAAGGGUUGAAGAGUUUGGGUUUAAAUAUAGAGAUGAGUAGAUAACACAUGGGGACUAGAACUGGCAAUAAGAGUUUAGAGUCAAAAAUACAUAGAAAAGAAAAGAUUCCCAGAGAUAGAGAGUUUAAGGAGUCAGCUAGUUCAACUAAUAUUAUUUUUAUUAAAAACUAAAGAGAACAUCAGCAUUAACUAUCAAGUUAUAUUUUCAAGUUCUUCUUUUGGUUGUUGGUACUGCAUUUCGAUUGCUAUUUGGUUUUACAAUUGAUUCUGGGUUGUUUGUUGAGAGUGUAUUCGAGUGGAAAUUGCUUUUGCUGUUGUUUUAAGUCUGGUCUGUUGUUAUUGCAUUGCUAUUGUGUUGUCGCGCUAUUUCCUACUGCUGAUUACUCCUCCUUCUUCUAUUUUCCAUUAUCCAGGUACACACUCUGAAAUCAUGUACUGAUGUAAACCUGAAGUUGGAGAUGAAAUGAAAUGCUGUCAAGUUUCCUUUUGAAUUCCCUUGCAUCUUUAACUGGAUAUUUAGUAGAAUUUUUACUUAUAAUUGAUUGAUAAGCGUAUAAAUUGGACUGUUGAAUCUAUCCCUACAAACAUGUGAAUAUCCUUUGUAAUUAAUCUUAGUUUGUGAUUAUUUCUAUGAAAUAUAGUGUAGUUAAUGCAUUUCCAACUAGCC
rnacentral:lncRNA from 1 species